ACUUUUGUUUGUAGUUGAUUGCUUAUCACCUAUUCAAGGCUUCAUUUCUAUUUACCGUGUGUAUUUGAUGAUUUGUCCUCAGUAAGUCCCUACAAAAGAAUACUGAUCAUGUUUUCUUUUCUCUCUCACAGCUGCUCAGUAAUUUCACAAGAUGUAAUCAGGCAGAAUGCACACUGAAGACCAUAUGAAGAACAACUUAAGCCUCUUUCUCUCUUACACACAAUACACAUGCUGAUUCCAAUGGAAGAGAUGUAGUUAAAUCCUCUGUACUGUUUGGAUAUUUUGAGGCUUGGGCAAUUGUUGAGCUUUGCUGCAGACUAAAAAACUUUGAACCACUUGAAAUGGAAAGAAAAAGGCCAUAA
rnacentral:lncRNA from 1 species